rnacentral:rRNA from 1 species
AACGUAGGUGGCAAGCGUUAUCCGGAAUUACUGGGCGUAAAGGGUGUGCAGGCGGGGUUGCAAGUGGUGUAUGAAAUAUCCCAGCUUAACUGGGAGGGGUUAUGCCAGACUGCAACUCUAGAGGACGAGAGAGGGGGGGUGGAAUUCCGGGUGUAGUGGUGAAAUUCGUAGAUAUCGGGAGGACACCAGUGGCGAAGGCGGCGACCUGGGCCAAUAUUGA